AAAUUGAUAGCGUCAUAGCUCUA
rnacentral:rRNA from 1 species